rnacentral:lncRNA from 1 species
UAUCUUAAAAGACCGCUCUAAAUACAUAAAUUCCAUGCAACACCAGAAAAAACAGACUUCCAUUCCAAAUAAUCUAGAUUCACAUAAUUUUAAUAAUCACAGACUUUCUCUAUCAAAACACAUACAACUCUCAAUAAACAACAAUCAUAAUCUUCCAUCCAUAAUCAAUCUUUCAAUAACUUCUCAUAUAAUUCAAUCAUACAGUACUCCAAUUACAUAAUCAAUAACUCAUAAAUCAAUCUUUGAUUUAUUCCAUACACUCACUUCAUAGUAUUCAAAAACUAUCCAUUAUUCUUUAAUAAUAA